CAGCAGCCGCGGGAAUACGAAGGGGGCUAGCGUUGUUCGGAUUUACUGGGCGUAAAGCGUGCGUAGGCGGUGAGUUAAGUCUGCUGUGAAAUCCCCGGGCUCAACCUGGGAAUGGCAGUGGAUACUGGCUCGCUAGAGUGUGUCAGAGGAUGGUGGAAUUCCCGGUGUAGCGGUGAAAUGCGUAGAGAUCGGGAGGAACAUCAGUGGCGAAGGCGGCCAUCUGGGACAACACUGACGCUGAGGCACGAAAGUGUGGGGAGCAAACAGGAUUAGAUACCCCGGUAGUCCCUGUCUCUUAUAU
rnacentral:rRNA from 1 species